rnacentral:rRNA from 1 species
CCUACGGGAGGCAGCAGUGGGGGAUAUUGCACAAUGGGGGGAACCCUGAUGCAGCGACGCCGCGUGGGUGAAGAAGCGCCUCGGCGCGUAAAGCCCUGUCAGCAGGGAAGAAAAUGACGGGACCUGAAGAAGAAGCCCCGGCGAACUACGUGCAAGCAGCCGCGGUAAUACGUCGGUGGCGAGCGUUAUCCGGAAUGAUUGGGCGUAAAGGGUGCGUAGGGGGCCUGCGAAGUCUGGGGUUAAAGGUACCGGCUCAACCGGUACAGGCGCUGGAAACUGGCGGGCUAGAGCGCCGGAGAGGUCGGUGGACCUCCCUGUGUAGCGGUCCAAUGCGUCGAUCUCUG